rnacentral:rRNA from 1 species
UGGGGAAUUUUGGACAAUGGGCGCAAGCCUGAUCCAGCCAUGCCGCGUGCGGGAAGAAGGCCUUCGGGUUGUAAACCGCUUUUGUCAGGGAAGAAAUCUUCUGAGUUAAUACCUCGGGAGGAUGACGGUACCUGAAGAAUAAGCACCGGCUAACUACGUGCCAGCAGCCGCGGUAAUACGUAGGGUGCAAGCGUUAAUCGGAAUUACUGGGCGUAAAGCGUGCGCAGGCGGUUUUGUAAGACAGAGGUGAAAUCCCCAGGCUCAACCUGGGAACUGCCUUUGUGACUACAAGGCUUGAGUGCGGCAGAGGGGGAUGGAAUUCCGCGUGUAGCAGUGAAAUGCGUAGAUAUGCGGAGGAACACCGAUGGCGAAGGCAAUCCCCUGGGCCUGCACUGACGCUCAUGCACGAAAGCGUGGGGAGCAAAACAGGAUUAGAUACCCUGGUAAGUCCACGCCCUAAAACGAUGUCAACUGGUUGUUGGGAAGGUUCCUUCUCAGUAACGUAGCUAACGCGUGAAGUUGACCGCCUGGGGAGUACGGCCGCAAGGUUG